AUCACACAAAGGUAACUUUGGU
rnacentral:miRNA from 1 species